rnacentral:piRNA from 1 species
UAGAAUUGUAACUUCUCUGUUCAGGAUGA